GACGUAGGGUGCGAGCGUUGUCCGGAUUUAUUGGGCGUAAAGAGCUCGUAGGCGGCUCGUCGCGUCGACCGUGAAAACCCGCGGCUUAACUGCGGGCUUGCGGUUGAUACGGGCGGGCUAGAGUUCGGUAGGGGAGACUGGAACUCCUGGUGUAGCGGUGAAAUGCGCAGAUAUCAGGAGGAACACCGGUGGCGAAGGCGGUUCUCUGGGCAUUACCUGACGCUGAGGAGCGAAAGUGUGGGGAGCGAACAGG
rnacentral:rRNA from 1 species